AGCAACAAAUGCCCUGCUUCCAGGAAAAGCCUCUAAGCAUCAGGUAACAUCAAAUCGUACCCCAAACCGACACAGGUGGUCAGGUAGAGAAUACCAAGGCGCUUGAGAGAACUCGGGUGAAGGAACUAGGCAAAAUGGUGCCGUAACUUCGGGAGAAGGCACGCUGACACGUAGGUGAAGUGAUUUACUCAUGGAGCUGAAGUCAGUCGAAGAUACCAGCUGGCUGCAACUGUUUAUUAAAAACACAGCACUGUGCAAACACGAAAGUGGACGUAUACGGUGUGACGCCUGCCCGGUGCCGGAAGGUUAAUUGAUGGGGUCAGCGCAAGCGAAGCUCCUGAUCGAAGCCCCGGUAAACGGCGGCCGUAACUAUAACGGUCCUAAGGUAGCGAAAUUCCUUGUCGGGUAAGUUCCGACCUGCACGAAUGGCGUAAUGAUGGCCAGGCUGUCUCCACCCGAGACUCAGUGAAAUUGAACUCGCUGUGAAGAUGCAGUGUACCCGCGGCAAGACGGAAAGACCCCGUGAACCUUUACUAUAGCUUGACACUGAACAUUGAGCCUUGAUGUGUAGGAUAGGUGGGAGGCUUUGAAGCGUGGACGCCAGUCUGCGUGGAGCCGACCUUGAAAUACCACCCUUUAAUGUUUGAUGUUCUAACGUGGACCCGUUACCCGGGUUGCGGACAGUGUCUGGUGGGUAGUUUGACUGGGGCGGUCUCCUCCUAAAGAGUAACGGAGGAGCACGAAGGUUGGCUAAUCCUGGUCGGACAUCAGGAGGUUAGUGCAAUGGCAUAAGCCAGCUUGACUGCGAGCGUGACGGCGCGAGCAGGUGCGAAAGCAGGUCAUAGUGAUCCGGUGGUUCUGAAUGGAAGGGCCAUCGCUCAACGGAUAAAAGGUACUCCGGGGAUAACAGGCUGAUACCGCCCAAGAGUUCAUAUCGACGGCGGUGUUUGGCACCUCGAUGUCGGCUCAUCACAUCCUGGGGCUGAAGUAGGUCCCAAGGGUAUGGCUGUUCGCCAUUUAAAGUGGUACGCGAGCUGGGUUUAGAACGUCGUGAGACAGUUCGGUCCCUAUCUGCCGUGGGCGCUGGAGAACUGAGGGGGGCUGCUCCUAGUACGAGAGGACCGGAGUGGACGCAUCACUGGUGUUCGGGUUGUCAUGCCAAUGGCACUGCCCGGUAGCUAAAUGCGGAAGAGAUAAGUGCUGAAAGCAUCUAAGCACGAAACUUGCCCCGAGAUGAGUUCUCCCUGAGACUUAGAGUCUCCUGAAGGAACGUUGAAGACGACGACGUUGAUAGGCCGGGUGUGUAAGCGCAGCGAUGCGUUGAGCUAACCGGUACUAAUGAACCGUGAGGCUUAACCUUACAACGCCG
rnacentral:rRNA from 1 species